rnacentral:lncRNA from 10 species
AGCACACUCCAGUUGGGAUCUGAGGGGCCUACAUCGCUGGCCUGAGCAUGUGGGCAUCAGGCUUCUAUUCUGGCUCUGCCAGCUACCCACUGUGACCUUAGUCUAACCUCUCCCUCCUGGGCCUGUUUUCCUAUCUGUCCUGAAGCUCCAUUUCAUGAGUAAGCGUGAGAGCCGCUCAGUUUCCUCCAGCUCUGCUGAAGCCAGCACAGAAGUAGCCCAAACUCUUCCCUCUGCUGACAGCAAAUUUUAGGCAAAGUCUUGAGAAAGAAGAAAUUGGGUCCAGAAAGGGAAGUGAGGAGAAUCAGAUCCCAGACCUUUGGGGAGAAGGAGCAACCGCCUCUGGCACAGCCCAUCAGGGAGAAAGAGCAGGAACAUAUGAUGUAAAGGCCUAAAGGGGCGAAGUGACUUGCCCAGGGUCACACAGAUAGGCAGCGGAGGAGUCAGCAUUCUGACGGCAGAACCUACUCGGAGACCCAGAUCACAGCCCUGCCCAGGGCUGCUCUUGAUCUGGGGGUGGACUUGAUGCUUUAGGACCAUCAUUUCUCUGCGGGUCUCAGGCUAU